UACGAAGGGGGCUAGCGUUGCUCGGAAUCACUGGGCGUAAAGCGCACGUAGGCGGAUCUUUAAGUCAGGGGUGAAAUCCCAAGGCUCAACCUUGGAACUGCCUUUGAUACUGGGGAUCUCGGAGUCCGGAAGGAGGUUGGUGGAACUGCGAGUGUAGAGGUGAAAUUCGUAGAUAUUCGCAAGAACACCAGUGGCGAAGGCGGCCAACUGGUCCGGUACUGACGCUGAGGUGCGAAAGCGUGGGGAGCAAACAGGGAUUAGAAACC
rnacentral:rRNA from 1 species